rnacentral:tRNA from 1 species
GCGGUUGGGGCGAAGUGGUUACCGCAUCGGUUUGUGGUUCCGACAUUCGUGGGUUCGAUUCCCAUCAACCGCC